UCCUACGGGAGGCAGCAGUGGGGAAUAUUGCACAAUGGGCGAAAGCCUGAUGCAGCGACGCCGCGUGAGGGAUGAAGGCCUUCGGGUUGUAAACCUCUUUCAGCAGGGAAGAAGCGAAAGUGACGGUACCUGCAGAAGAAGCACCGGCUAACUACGUGCCAGCAGCCGCGGUAAUACGUAGGGUGCAAGCGUUGUCCGGAAUUAUUGGGCGUAAAGAGCUUGUAGGCGGUUUGUCGCGUCUGCUGUGAAAUUUCGGGGCUCAACCCCGAACUUGCAGUGGGUACGGGCAGGCUAGAGUGUGGUAGGGGAGACUGGAAUUCCUGGUGUAGCGGUGAAAUGCGCAGAUAUCAGGAGGAACACCGAUGGCGAAGGCAGGUCUCUGGGCCACUACUGACGCUGAGAAGCGAAAGCAUGGGGAGCGAACAGGAUUAGAUACCCUGGUAGUCCAUGCCGUAAACGUUGGGAACUAGGUGUGGGCCUCAUUCCACGAGGUCCGUGCCGCAGCUAACGCAUUAAGUUCCCCGCCUGGGGAGUACGGCCGCAAGGCUAAAACUCAAAGGAAUUGACGGGGGCCCGCACAAGCGGCGGAGCAUGCGGAUUAAUUCGAUGCAACGCGAAGAACCUUACCAAGGCUUGACAUGUGCCGGAAAAGUGCAGAGAUGUGCUCCCCGCAAGGUCGGCGCACAGGUGGUGCAUGGUUGUCGUCAGCUCGUGUCGUGAGAUGUUGGGUUAAGUCCCGCAACGAGCGCAACCCUCGUUCUAUGUUGCCAGCACGUAAUGGUGGGGACUCAUAGGAGACUGCCGGGGUCAACUCGGAGGAAGGUGGGGAUGACGUCAAAUCAUCAUGCCCCUUAUGUCUUGGGCUUCACGCAUGCUACAAUGGCCAGUACAAAGGGCUGCGAUACCGCAAGGUGGAGCGAAUCCCAAAAAACUGGUCUCAGUUCGGAUUGGGGUCUGCAACUCGACCCCAUGAAGUCGGAGUCGCUAGUAAUCGCAGAUCAGCAACGCUGCGGUGAAUACGUUCCCGGGCCUUGUACACACCGCAU
rnacentral:rRNA from 1 species